rnacentral:rRNA from 1 species
CCUCCCGCAAAAAUCAACGUAUAGGAGGUCCCACCUGCCCAGUGACAAUGUUAAACGGCCGCGGUAUUUUAACCGUGCAAAGGUAGCGCAAUCACUUGUCUUUUAAAUGAAGACCUGUAUGAAUGGUAGAACGAGGGCUUAACUGUCUCCCCCUUUAAGUCAAUGAAAUUGAUCUGCCCGUGCAGAAGCGGACAUACAAAUACAAGACGAGAAGACCCUCUGGAGCUUAAGACUUAAGAUCAAUUAUGUCAAGAACUCCCAAAGUUAAACUAAAUAACACCUGAUCCCAAUCUUCAGUUGGGGCGACCACGGGAGAAAAUAAAGCUCCCACGAGGACUGGGCAAACCCCCUAAAACCAAGAGAAACAUCUCCAAGCCACAGAAUAUCUGACCAAAAAGAUCCGGCCACCGCCGACCAACGGACCAAGUUACCCUAGGGAUAACAGCGCAAUCCCCUUUCAGAGCCCAUAUCGACAAGGGGGUUUACGANCUCGAUGUUGGAUCAGGACAUCCUAAUGGUGCAGCCACUAUUAAGGGUUCGUUUGUUCAACGAUUAAAGUC